UUGGGGAAUCUUGCACAAUGGGCGAAAGCCUGAUGCAGCAACGCCGCGUGAGGGAUGACGGCCUUCGGGUUGGAAACCUCUUUUAGUAGGGAAGAAGCGAAAGGGACGGUACCUGCAGAAAAAGCACCGGCUAACUACGUGCCAGCAGCCGCGGUAAUACGUAGGGUGCAAGCGUUGUCCGGAAUUAUUGGGCGUAAAGAGCUCGUAGGCGGCUUGUCGCGUCUGCUGUGAAAACCCGAGGCUCAACCCCAGGCCUGCAGUGGGUACGGGCAAGGUAGAGUGCGGUAGGGGAGAUUGGAAUUCCUGGUGUAGCGGUGGAAUGCGCAGAUAUCAGGAGGAACACCGAUGGCGAAGGCAGAUCUCUGGGCCGUAACUGACGCUGAGGAGCGAAAGCAUGGGGAGCGAACAGGAUUAGAUACCCUUGUAGUCC
rnacentral:rRNA from 1 species